GAGCCAGAAGACGCGGGACUCCCGGACGUUUGCGUCUGCGGCGCUGCGCAGCCUUGUGCGGGGGAUUCGCAACAGGCCGCUGCCCCCCGCCCCAGGUUUCCUCCAGCUAAGGAAAUAAACACAGGAAACCUCAUUUCUAGCGGAGUGGGGGUGGCUAAGCAGGAGCUCACACCCUGGAAGCACCUUGCAGCCCACGGAAACGGCAGCGAGUAGGAAGAGAGUGGCUCUUUUCCAGUUCUGAAGUGUUUUCAGGAACUGUGGAUGAAGAUAAAAUAUAUCUGGAAAAUACAUAUUUGGUCAUCUGAAGAAGGCUACUUCGGAGUGUGAUGACCCAGAAUUCCAAGGUUGGAUUGAGGAUAUUCCUGAUGCAUAGCCCAAGUUCUGAUGGAAUAACUGAUCUUUGGAAGAAGACUACCAAACCAAGAACUUCAGAUCAAGCCAAUGAGGAGGUGGAGAGCUUCAACUGAAGGCAAUAAAACAAGAUUCAUUUUUGAUAUCUCUGCCCUCCUUUUUCAAUUUUGCUCUACUUCUCUUUGUACUUUGGUGCCCCCUAGAGGGAGACCAAAAAAUUUCAUAAUUCUUUCAAGGAGCUAUAUUUUUUUCUUUUAAGGUAGAAACCAUACCCAGCAUGGAGCCCAACACAGUGCUUGAAGUUACCACCCUGAUAUCAAGACCUGAGCU